CGUCUCACGCCAAGGACGAGUAAAGGUAAAUACCGGCUUUGAUAAAAAAAAAAAAAAAUUUAAAAAUGCAUUGUUUUUGUCUAAACAUCGAUCGGAAGAUUUUGAUGCCAAAAAUCAUUUGAAAACUUAAUUCCGUUAUUUAAAUACUAAUUGUUUCACAUUCCAAUGUGGAUAUAAGGAACUUUACUCGUUCAGCAUGCUCAAGUGGAUCAAACUGACAGCAGAAAAACAUUGACCCAACGUCAGUUCUUCUUCAGUCUUCUUCCAAUAAUUUACAUCAUACCACUUCUGGUGUAUUAUUGUAAAUUCGUAUCAUAUAGCAUCCGUAUUAAAAGCAACCGAGUCAGCAUCUACUUCUUCGAAUACUAUAGCUCAGGGUAUCAAGACAAGUUCUAUAGAAAUGAUUAAGGUUCAUGAUGUGUACCCUUUGGCUAAAAUGGCUGCAUUUUCACCUCAAAAUUUAGAUAGAUUACAGACAAACAGCGGCCUGUGCAUCUGGAAAAGUUUUAAGGCAUACCAUGCCCUAUAUAAAUAGAUUUCAAUUGCUUUGUCACCCAAACACAGAGGCAAUGAUUACCGUAAUAUAUCAAAUGAAUGGCUUAAAACAAAAAUUCUCAAAUGUUCUUAACUCAUAAGACAAUGCUUAAUUUCACAACAGCAACUAAAAUGUGUUACAGGUUUAUAAGCACCUCUAUGAAUCUAGUGUAUAUAAACUUUUUAUUCCUGUGGUCAUACUGCUGUUGUUAUGCUCCCACCGUAUUGAGUUUUAUCCUUGUUCUGCUGUAAGUAUGUACGUCCUUCCCUUACUUGUACGUACAUGUACCUCCGUACAUCCCAAAAUUCGUUUCUGUUCUCUUACUUUAGUUUGCCUGAACCAAAUUGUAUGAAACUUAUACGCAAUGCUUAUAACCACAAUUCACAAGUCAAGUUUGAAUUUUAGUUGCGUCACUUUUACCAUUCUAGCAUUUUAUGCUACUUUACAAAUAGAAAAGUUGCU
rnacentral:lncRNA from 1 species